ACGGGAGGCAGCAGUGAGGAAUAUUGGUCAAUGGGCGGAAGCCUGAACCAGCCAUGCCGCGUGAAGGAUUAAGGCCCUAUGGGUCGUAAACUUCUUUUGAGCGGGAGCAAUAAGGGUCACGUGUGACCCGAUGAGAGUACCGUUCGAAUAAGCAUCGGCUAACUCCGUGCCAGCAGCCGCGGUAAUACGGAGGAUGCGAGCGUUAUCCGGAUUUAUUGGGUUUAAAGGGUGCGUAGGCGGGAUAUUAAGUCAGCGGUGAAAGUUUGCGGCUCAACCGUAAAAUUGCCGUUGAAACUGGUGUUCUUGAGUGUAAACGAGGUAGGCGGAAUGUGACGUGUAGCGGUGAAAUGCUUAGAUAUGUCACAGAACCCCGAUUGCGAAGGCAGCUUACCAGCAUACAACUGACGCUGAGGCACGAAAGCGUGGGUAUCAAACAGGAUUAGAUACCCUGGUA
rnacentral:rRNA from 1 species